rnacentral:rRNA from 1 species
UGGGGAAUAUUGCACAAUGGGCGCAAGCCUGAUGCAGCCAUGCCGCGUGUGUGAAGAAGGCCUUCGGGUUGUAAAGCACUUUCAGCGGGGAGGAAGGCGUUAAGGUUAAUAACCUUGGCGAUUGACGUUACCCGCAGAAGAAGCACCGGCUAACUCCGUGCCAGCAGCCGCGGUAAUACGGAGGGUGCAAGCGUUAAUCGGAAUUACUGGGCGUAAAGCGCACGCAGGCGGUUUGUUAAGUCAGAUGUGAAAUCCCCGGGCUCAACCUGGGAACUGCAUCUGAUACUGGCAAGCUUGAGUCUCGUAGAGGGGGGUAGAAUUCCAGGUGUAGCGGUGAAAUGCGUAGAGAUGUGGAGGAAUACCGGUGGCGAAGGCGGCCCCCUGGACAAAGACUGACGCUCAGGUGCGAAAGCGUGGGGAGCAAACAGG